CUCCCUGGUACCAUACCCCAGCCGAUGAGUAUGUACCCCCAGAAGUACUUCCGCUCAGAGAAGAAGGAGACGGCAAGCAGGGUGUACAGGAAGGCCCAGAACCAGCCUGCUGUCAGGAUCAGAACAAAAGAGGAGGACUGCAUAUGUAUGGACCCACUCCAGAUGGCAUGGGGACGGGGGGAGUAGGAAAAGUGGCAUGGUGAGCAGAGCCCUGGCUAUGCAGGUGGCAGAUGACUGAUUAGAAAACCAGCUCAAGGUCAUGUUGCUGCUCUCUCAUUCCUGUUGAGGGCUCUCUGGUGGAGCCUCUGUCUCACAGGUCACCUGCAGGCCAACACUCCCAGAAGCAGCUAGCACCAUGGUUGACCUCGUCCA
rnacentral:antisense_RNA from 1 species